rnacentral:lncRNA from 1 species
AAGCUCUCUGCUGAAAGUUUCUAAUUCAUCCUUUAUUUCUUUUUUCAUCUGGGUCUUUUUUUGCUAGAUUUAUGUAUUUUUUUUCCCGUGAAUUCGAACUGAAAUUGGAAUUACUGAUUUAGAAGAAACAAUUCGAUGAAUUUUUUUAUUUGCGUGUAUGUGUUGGUCCUGUUCUUGAUUUGUUGUGUUUUUUUUGCUGUUACUGCGGUGAAAAAAGUUCAUAGAUUUCUGAUUCUGGAGGACCCUUUGUGAAUUUUAUCUGAAUUUGAAUAAUUUUUUAUCUGGGUUUAGAGUUACAUCUGUGAUUUGUUGUUUAUGUGGUGAAAAAAUGGGUUGGCUUUAUAUUUUUUCAUGGGACUUAAUUUGUGUUUAAUAUUACAAAGAAGGGUGGAGGGAUUUUGAGAUUAGGGUAAGUUUUUAGGAAUUGCUUUGGAGCUAAAGGUUGUUGCUUGAGAAAUUAAUAAGCUUUUCUGAGACCAGGUUUUGGGUUUUGAAUUCUGCCCUUUUCUUUGUAGGAGUUUAAGAUUAGGAUCAAUGGUUUUGCAUAGGGAAAAACUUGAUUUGUGGGUGAGAUAGUAUUGGGUUUUGUGGGAUGUUCACCUUGCUUCGACGAUGAAUGUUACAGCGUGGUGUUAUGUUAAAAGUAGGACGCUGGUGCAAAGAAUAUUAAUUUGUUUGUCGUGAACGAAAGCCGGUGGUGCUGCUUUUUCUCCAGCUAUAACUACCUGAUUCUUUUAGUUUUCAGCUUGGUAGUAUAUUUGCUUAUGAUGCCCAUAUGUAGGCAAGUUUGUAAUGUUCAUCAUGGUCUUGAAAUUCUGGUACAACCCUCAGUUUUUUUGUGUCUUGCGUUCUUCACAGAAUCAAAAGUUUGUUUUGUUUUUUUCAGAUCCUUCAAUUCUUAUAGUUUUUUAGAAGAAUUGUAGCAUCAACUUUUGCAUCAUUAGUUGACAUUCCUCCUUGAUGCAUAUCUAUGUAGUAUUUCUGCAUUUGCUUUUAGCUCUAGAGAUGUGCAUCAAGGAAGAUGGUAGUCUAAUAAUGGCGUAGAGCAAGUGUCACAUAUUUGUAAAAGCUUUACAAUCAUUUACCAUUAAGAGUGUAAAGGAAUGCAUAAUGUAAGCGAAGUGUCUGCCGCAACAGUUCUAAUAGGAUUUAUUAACCUAAAAUAGGAGCCUUUAACUAAAGUCUUGUUGUCGUUUUUCGUUGGUUAGUCAUUUGACGGCAUUGGACAUCAUCUAUCCGUGUAUUUAUAGUUCUACCCAGUAAUCCAUACGAAUUUUAACUUUAAUAGUCUAUCUCUGAUCUAAAAUUUGAUAUUUUGAGAAGUUUUUGGUGUCGGAGUAUUGUUCUUUUGUCACCGUAAGAUUGAACAUCAAGCUAUUGUAGUUACUUUCUCUGGUAGCUGUUUUUCUAGUGGGUUUAGAAACGACCACAUGGUACAAAUUAAUUCGGGGUAAAUUUUGAAGAAACUCCCAAAUUAAGAGCGUUGUCAUCAUGUAGUCCCAGCAUACUUUUGAUUGGUGUUUCCCAAUUGCAUGAUUGGUAUUUUAUUUUUAUUUUUGUGGUCUGAAUACUCCUAUAUACGGGCUUCUUUCACUGCCCAAACUGUCAUUGAUUCGAAAUUGUGCAUCGUCAAAUUGAUUGCAGUCAGGUCCAUUGGCUAUGAUAACCUAAAUUCUUAGCUUACGCUCUCUCGUUUCAUUUAUAUGAUAUUUCACUAGCUGAAAUUUUCUACUAUGUAUCACUAUGUUUGAGAAGUUGAACCAUAUUUUAUGAUCUUACUCUUUUUUCUGGGAACUAAUAUAAAGUUCUUUUAUCAGGACACCAAGUGACAAAAGAGAUGGUGAAGGCAUACACGCAAGAGUACACAUACAAGCACCCAUGGGACCGGGUGACUUCCGCAUCAUGGAAAAAAUUUGCUGAUGCUGAAAACAAACGCACGCUAUCACACAUCCUUGAAGUUGACACUCUGAACCACAAGCUUGAUCCCAGCACAGGAAAGCUUUACACCACACGUGCUAUCACGGUCCAUGCGCCAGGACCAUGGUUUGUCCGCAAAAUUGUUCGCCAGGAUGUCUGCCACUGCGUCGAGUCAACAGUUGUGGAUGCGCAAGCACGAUCAAUGCAACUCACCACCAAUAAUAUUAGCCUUGAAAAGUUCAUAGAGGUGGAGGAGAAGAUCAGGUAUGAUCCCCACCCAGAGAACCCAAAUGGCUGGACAUUAUGUCGACAGGAGACUAGCAUUCGAAUCAAGCCGUUAUCAGCAUUGGCAUCGAUGGCGGAAAAGGUUGAACAAAGAUGCGCUGAGAAGUUUGUGCAGAACAGUGCCAAGGGCAGAGAGGUCAUGGAGAGGAUAUGCAAGUAUCUUGAAGCUGAAUCUAAAGGGAUUUCUAUCUAACCCGGACCGGACUUUUGUAGUGUUAGGUCAGAGGGCUUGUGAACCCUCUCAAAGUAUAAAAUAAUAGAAGCCGGAAAGAGUGCAGAACCGAUAACUAUUUUCUAACCGUUGAAUCUCGUCGAUCGAAAUUUUGGCACAGAAUGCAUCAGUUUUGCAUUAUACGUAGUUCAUGUAUUGUGCUCCCUUGUGUUGGAUGACUUGCCCAGUUCUAUAUCCUUGUGCACGAUCCAAAAGUUUUCUAAUUGCCCUGUUUGAGGGAGCAGUUGAAUGCGAAACCUCGAGGGCAAAAGCUGUGCUAAAACUCCAUUGCAUUUAUUAACUGCCAUUUUCGUCCUUUUUUUUCUCUGUGACGACGGUUAUGUUUUGAGUUCUGAAACUGAUAAAACCAUAUGAAACCUAAGAGUUUGUUUAGUACUUUACUUGAAACCAACCUUUUAAACUCAAAUACAAUUUUCAAAAUUUAGGUCUUUAAAACUUGUUUGAUAGGAUAAUUUUUAAAAACUGAACUCAAGACUAACCCAAAAAUAUAGUAUAUUCUCUAAAAAUAUAAAAAGUGAGUUUUUAGAGUUUUUAAACUUAAACUCACUCCUUUGCCUCCCCUCCAAUCCGUUAUCUUCAUUCUUUCGAUUCUUUCUCUCACUCAUCUUCCUCUCUAUCUCGUCCAAUCCUCUCUUCUUUCUCUUUCCUUCAAUCAUCUUUACUUUCUUUCCUACUCUCUCCUGUUUUUCCCUCCUAGAUCCCCUCUUUUUAAAUCUCUUUGUCUAGUUUAAGUUGUAAGAUUUAAAACUUUUAAAUCGCAAACCAAUCAAGUUUUUAAGUCUUAAAAAAAACUGUUUUCAAGAAAUGUAAUUUUCAAGUAAGAUACCAAACUGGCCCUGAAUAUUUACAACAUGCAUGACAACACGAUGGACCAGAAAGGAAGGGUAAAUAGAUUUAUGCAUGGAAACCACAUCAAUACUUUACAAUACAAGAUCCACUUGACAUGUAAUAGAAGAAAGAAAUGCGAUAUAAACAGCGCGUAGACGCAUUACGUAGAUUAACCCGAACCAUGUCCACCAAACCGGCACAGACUACAACUUAGAAAGACACGAGGCAACACAUAAAGUUCUCCCAAUCACAACAAAUACAGAGUUCUUCGGAGUGCAGAGAUGCCUAGAUCGCCUUGGCACCCCAGUAGGUAUAACAUCAUAAAACGGCAAGUGCUAAGAUACCGCUGCAAACUCUGAAGCCAUCUCGUGGAUGAAAACAAGCAUCAAUUUCGAAAAUGAAACUUCACUGCAUCAGGCUUUAGAUUUUAUCGAGCUUCUCAGCUUUUACGACCGGGUUGGCUUUCGCAAUAGCAUCACGUCCAGCAGUGCGAUAAUCGUAAGGGCAGUCAUGUUUGUCUGAAUAACGAUGUACUGCACAAAAUAGGUGACCACACCGACAAUUGAACCCUGUUAGUCCAACCCGCUUGUUGCAAGUGUUGCAACGUUUUGGGCCCUCCGGCUUUGGCUCACCAGAUGACCCUGAACCAAAGGAAAAUGAUGGUUGCGAUGAGAGAGUUUUUGGCUCCACUGGAUGGGGUUGAACAUCCACAGUAGCAGCCGCAACAACAGGCUCAUUUGCAUUGAUGCUUGAUGUUCCGUUGACAAUGCUUCCAAAGGAUGAUGCAGCAAGCUUCGCCUGCUCCUGUUUCAACAUCAUAUCCUUGUGACACUUGGAACACAUAUUCAUAGUAGCCGCGCUUCCAAAAAACCCACAGUUGUUUACACAUAAAAUAGGACCUUCAGGGGCUGCUUGGCAUCCAGUCUCCUCGUGCUCCAUUUUUUCAACUUACCUGCGAAAACCAACAAUUAAUGGGGUGCAGCUUAUUAAGAGUGAAAACUUACAAGUCCGCCACACACACGCAACCAAAACAACAAACACAUGAAAAACUCAGCAAACACGCCACUUAUAAUGAAAAUAAUGCUCGUGGUGCAAUUUAAUGCUGGUAUAUAAGCAAUGAAAAUACUAAUUUUUUGUUUGAAAGGAAAAAGUUGUUAAGACUGCAUACGAUUCCAUGUUACUUAAUAUCGAAGAACGUGAAGUCAGGGUAUUUCAUUAUCUUUAUAACUUGCACACAACAACUCAUCUUUAAACAGAAAACGUUUAGAUUUCAAUCCACAAAACCCGUAUAACAUCACUAACAACAUCCAAAGAUGUUAAACCUGUAAAAGGCUUAUUGAAUUUGCAUCAUAUGAACAUAUGCUUGUAAAUUCAAUAAGACAUAAAAAUAGAAAACCGCUAAUUGAGCUAUAAAAAUCAGAAGCGAAAUCUUUAUUAUAAUCUGCGAACGGACAUUCGUCAUGCCAACAAGUAUAGUAGUGAAGCUACAUAAACACCUAUCAACCAACUGAUAGCAAUUACAUACAAAAAAUAAAAUCUAAUCAUUAUAGACCACCUGAUUUGUGCCAAAGUUCAAACUCAACCUCAGAUUUAUGGCCAAUUAGCAAUUACAAUCUACAUAAUACCGGACCUUUGACUCGCAAACUUUCACUAAUCAAUCAUCCAUAUAAAUAAUCCACACCCCAAAUUGCAAAUUUGCAGAAAACCCAUCGAAAACACCUGGAAUCAACAAAAACAGGGUAAUCAACACAAAAAUCCCCAAAUCCCAAAUUUACAGAGAACCCCUAAAAAAACACUUCAAAUCUACAAAAACCCAAACUUGGUCAGCUAUACAAACACACAUAUACACAUGCAUACAUCCAAAAUUGCAAAUUUGCAGAGAACCUUAAAAACACUAAAAAUCAACAAACAAAAAAAAACCCCCAAAUUUGGUCAGCUAUAUAAGCACAUACACACACAAAUAUAUAUACAUGCACAGAAACCCUACCCUGUUAAAACAAAUCUCUUGAAAUUGAACCUACCGAUUCACGAGCUCAGAAUCGCAUCGGACACUAAGUCCCUGUUCACCAAAAAACCAAGAAUUACAAUCAGAGAGUCAGUAACCGAAUACGAAGAUCAAAGGAAGCCCUCGAUCAAAAGCAGAAAAAUUGAACCAAACACAAAGAAAUCAAGCAGUAAUCAAAAUUAGGGGAUUUUCAAAACCCUAACCCUAGCAGAUUUUGGAUCGCCCGAGGAGAGAGAAAGCGAGAGCCAGCCAGAGAGAGAGAAAGUCGUGUUUCGCUAUUUUUCCUGUGCGACGCUCCCGUGCAAUUUAACAACGACCGUUUCUAUUAUGAGGCCGACGUGGCGGUUUCCUAUUGGCGGGAGGUCUUACCUCCGUUGUCCUGAAAUUCCUCUUUUGUCCCUUUUCUGAGGUGCUAAUAACGGUUUUGGAAAAGGUUAGGGAAAUAUGGUGGUGAUGUUAGGUGUAGUGGUCGGUUAAUCACAAUCGUAAUGUUUGAGAUUUUCUUUUCCAAGUCAAAAUCAAUAAUAUGGUUGUAGAUUUUUUGGUUGGAUACCAAACACAAUUUAGAUAUCUAUAGUAAGGUUCGAAAAAAACACUAGUCGAGCGACCUAAAGAGUUUAGGCGGAUUUUUUAAUGUAGUUAACUUUAUUAUAUAGCAAUAAAAACAUAUAAAUAAGUACUACAAUUGAUUGAGUACAUAUAAUAAAAUAUGUAUUCAAAGUGUAAAGUUCUUUUAAAAGAAAUUAUUUUCAAAUUCUUAACCUAAAAAAAUAAAAUAUUGAAUCGCCUACGAUCGUGCCUAAUUGUCUCGUGGAGGCUUCACCGAUUUUCUAAACGCCUAGGGCUUAGUCAGGCGCCAGGCCUCUGCCUAGUGCAUGGGUGUUCAAUUAUACCGCUUUUUAGAACAACGGUCUAGAGUAAGAAUUCGUAUUUGCAACGAAAAAAUGUACUAGUCAUUCACGAAUUUAAUUAAAAUGUAAACAUGUCUUUUCGAUUGCUAAAAAGUGUACAAAUAAGAGUACAUGUCAACUUGAUCAAUAUAAAACACAAAUUCAUGGGUUAGAUAAUCACGGGUUUAAUAAAGGCUUAUGAAAAAGUAUAUUAGAGAUUUUAAGAAAUAAUGUUGUCUUGAUGAAAUUCUUUCCUACUGGCAAUAUACCUUAAAUUAAUCUACACAGCAGGAGUAAAGAUUCGAGCUCUAAGCAAUGUGACUACACUUACAUGUGUUGUUGACCAAUUUAGUUUUAAUAGAUUUAUUAUUUCUAGGAGAAAACUUAACAAUUCUUAAGCAAUUUUGAUGAUAGAUUGAAAAUUAAACAUAACAUAUAUGGUUGGAAAAAUUGCACACAAACUCUAUAGUUUAACUUCCAUUUGGUUGCUUAUCUUUCACUCUCAAUCAAACUAUGAACUGCAUAUGAUGGGUGACACCUCAACCACAUAUAUUAUGGUAGUGAUGAUGAUAUCUAUGGAACCUCAAAUUGCAAGCAAACACUGCCUUUACAAAUUUUGAACAUAAAAAGGUUUGCAAAUCAGUCACGAAUGAGUUCUAUUUUUCUCCCUUUGCUUUUGCCUCAAAUAUUCUCUCUCUCUUUAUACUUUAAAACCUCAUUUGUGUUUGAUUUAAAGCAUGUCCUAGAGUAUUUUCAGCCAUCACCUUCUUUUUUUCAGGUCUUGUCUAGCUAAUCUUUAAGCAGUACUGUUGUCUUGAUUACUGUUAGUCAUAUGGUUUCUCCAUGAUUCCUUUUUAUUCGACUUGCAUGCUACUCUCUUGUGCUUCGAUUAUUCGAAGGUGGUUCAUGGAACUACGAAUGAUAAUAUGGUAUCAAAGAUGGAAGUGACGCGGUUGUAGAAGAGGUGUUUAAGGGCCCCUGUUUAGCACAACUUUUGGUCUCGGAGUCAGAUUUUGAAAAUUUCUCUCACAACCUUUGGUAUUCCAGAAUUCUUUUCCAAGGGUGACUGUUCGUAAUCCCUAAUCCAUAAGUUCCUCUGUGUCAGGAAGAUUGUGAGUAAUAGAGCAAAUUGGGGGAGAAGUUUUUGGAACUGGUCUCUUGUUCUUCACAAAUUUGAGAGAAGGAAGUAAGAAAAUCGUAUGUAAGUUUUUCCUUUUCUUCCUUAUUCCUUCUUGCAGAUGAAUUUGAUAGCAAAUCAAAAGUACACAAAUAUUGUUCAGUGCAAAGAUUCAUGGGUGGAACAAAAAAGGUAACAAUUUGCUAAGCAUAUGUUAUUGUCUUUCAGAAAGUUUCUGCAACCUCCAUUUAAUUCAAGAAAUGUAUUCUUCCAGAUUAGAUAGUUAGAACUAGAUAAGAUCUAUGGGAACAUAUUUUCUGCGACCUGCUUUGUGCUUAUUUAUAUUGCAUUCUUUGGUUAAAAUACAUUUGGACCAUAUCAUUAACUUAGCUGCAAUCUUUUAAUUAGAAAAAUCUCAUACUUCUUUGAUAUAAGGAAGAGAGAAUUCUUCGGAGAAGAUCGUUUGUUGAAGCAAUCGAAACACAGGCCUUACCGAAGAAACCAAGACCGGCUUUCUACAAACACCUUUCACCCCUUUAAGACAUAACAUUAUUAGGAUUCAUGCUAAGUAAAGCAUGGACAACCUUCCAUUGUCAUCCUCUCUACGCAAAGUCCAACCCGUUGCAUUAGGCAAGUAUGUAGAUUAGCCCAAUAUUGCAAACUUUGAUCUGAAUUCGCUUAUAUGUAUUUUCCAACUACAUGUGCCAUUGGUCAAGAGAGCUUCUUAUAGAUAAACCGUACAGCAAUAAAUCAGAUAUAUGAUCUCUAGGUUACGAAAUUUCCAUUAGCGUGGUUUUAGUUAAUUUAGUUGAGCAUGGCAAAUUUGUAAACCUAAUCGACCUUCCUACGAAUGAAAAUCUGGUUUUAUAACAGCUCCUUGCAGUUAGCUUCACAUCUAUUUGUUUGUAUAAAAGCAUAAACAUAAAGUGACACUUCCAUGUCAUAGAAAAGUUGCAGAAGAAGAAGAUGAUCUCAGUUUUCUCUGGUGGAAUCUCAUCAAUUAAUUCACAUGAUCAGCUGUUGAUCACCUCCUACAUUUCUCCAUUCCCAAUUUCUUUUCAUGAUAUUUUGAAUUGGCAAUAAAAUAAAACACGAAACUAUCCUUUUCUUUACAUGAUUAAAUCACUAAGUUGUUGAUAUAGUAUUGAUAAGCCGUGAAUAACAUUGGUAGAUAGCAAGUCAAUAGCAGAACAUAUCAUUGUCUUUAUUGAUAUACAUCCACAUUAUCUAUCGAUACAAAUUUCGUCCUUUUGACAAGAAAACAAAAGUAUGAUAAAUAAUAUUUCAUGCGUGUGUAUAAUAUCGUUAAACUAUCAAUGACAUUAGUAGAUAGCAAGUCAAUAGUAAAAAGUAUCAUUGUAUUAUCGAUAUACAUAUUACCCCAUUAUCUAUCUACACGAAUUCAUCCGUUUAUAUAUAGUUGGACCAUGAUUUUCUAGGCCCAUGACACGUGGCACUUUAGGUGGCAAGAAGGACCAGAAUGCCCAUAACCUAUGAAGUGUAGUCAAACAGUCUUAGUCAAACAUGCUAGGCUUAAGCCCAUUGAAAAUAUUACUUGUGUCCCAAGUAAGGAAAUCCUAAUUCAAGGCAAUUUAAUUAGGAUAUCUUGGGAUUAAGCAACGUAAUCAAAAUCCUAGCAAAAUUGGAUAUAUUAUCCUACAUUCCCUCCUAAAUAGUCUCUCGAUUAAAUGGAAUUACUCUUCCUACAGGGACUGUGAAGAUCUCUAUAAAUACCCUAACUUGGGCAUUGAUCGAGCAUGUCGAUCGACGAAUUAAUCAAUCACAACUGAAGAUACAUCUCUCUUAUAUUCUCUCUAUGCUUAACAUAGGCUCAUUUUGCAUCCACGCGGUCUACGCGCAAACACGUCCAUGGAGAACUCAUCUCUUUAAUGGCCCACCAUAGCCUAUUCACCAAGGAUGGUUCAUGAUGUAGCACACAUCAGACCAUUCUUUCUUAGAACUACACUACCGAUUUGAUUCUUCUUCCCGGAGAUAUGUAGGCAUUCUGAUCUGGAUUCAACCACACCCCCCAAUUGUGUGACCAUGAUCUCUGGGCCUAUGACACGUGGCACUUCGAGUGGCAAGAAUGGCUGAAAAGCUUAUAGCCCAUGGAGCGCAGUCUGAGAGCCUUAGUCCGACAAGCUAAGCUUAAGGCCUAUUGAAGAUCAUGUGCAAUUAACCUCUUAUUCCCCUCACUAAAGAUCAUGUGCAAUUCUAACUAGAUUUCGUCUCCGUCUAGGGAUUUGCGCGUUUUUGGUUCCAACACCAAUCAACCCCAUUCACCGGAGAUCAUGGACAAUUCUAACUGAAUUUCGGUUCCAUCCGCGGAUGUGUGAGAAUUUAGUUCCAACAUAUUGCACUAAUUAAACUGGUGGAAUUGCAAAUGAAGCAAACACAUGAUAAACAAAGAAAGAUUAAUAAACGUAGCCAAGAAGAAUAAUAUGAGUAAAUAGCGUUAUAGCUUCAUUUAUUGGGGAACAUAUUAAUUACAUGCACACACCCUAAUUAAAAAGAUGAUCAAGUACUUCUCUCGUCCUAUUUUAUCACUUAAUUAACAAUUUAGUUCAAGUAAAUGGCCAAGAAGGACAAGAGUGAAGCUCCAACCAGAGAUCCAACGGCGUUCAUGUUGCUUCCACUAGGUGCUGGAGCAGAAGCUCCAGGGCCAGCUGCGGCUGCAGCGGUGGGGGUGCCAGCGGGGGUGGCUGCAGCGGUUGUGGCUGCGGCAGGGGUGGCUGCUGUGGGGGUGGCUGCGGCGCCCUUUACAGGUUCAGCGUUGGCGGCUGCGGCGCCUUUUACAGGUUCAGCAGCCAUUGCUGCGCUUAUGCAGACAGCAACUACAAGGACAACCAAGGCAAUACUCUUCAUGGCCAUUUUGUGGGUGGCGUGUGGUCGGUCGAGGGAUCGAAAACACGCCUUGUAAACGGAUGUUAAGAAUUUAGAGUAUUGUAUUGAUCUCGUAGUAGUUUGUAGCUGUCCUGAGGAAAAUAGGGAGAGCCUUGGGGGUUAUAUAGCUUUGGAGUUUCUAACUAUGGAGGAGCAUGUUGGUUAUUUUUGGAAUAAAUCUGUUGGGUUUUGUUUGAGGUAGGGAACGGUUCUUAGGUCCGUGUGCUUUGCAUGAACAACGCCGCCUAUAAUGGUAUAACAAAAUAACAAAUGAAAUGCCACCUGUAUAGCUUAAAUAAUUUAGAGUGUUGCCCCUACUAUCGAGUUAUUUUGUUUGUAUCUCUAUUCUUCUAUUAUCAAACUCAUUUAGAAGUGCUUUUAAAAUGAUUGAAAACACUUUUAGUGAAAAUAUUUUAAGACCAUCGAGUUAUUUUGUUUGUAUCUCUAUUCUUCUAUUAUAAAGCUCGUUUGGGAGUGAUUUUACAAUGAUUGAAAACAUUUUUAGUGAAAAUAUUUUAUAACCAAUCCUUAGUUAUAAUUCAAGUAAAUCCUAAAAAAAUAUUUAAUGUGCUUCUUGCGAAAACACCUUAAGUGAUUUUAGAACCUAAAAACAUUUUCUCUAGAAGUGCUUUCAGUAAUUUUAAAAGUACUUCCAAACAAGCCCAUAACGUGUAUCUCUAUUCUCCCAAUAUUACUUGUAUCUUAAAACUACAAAGAAAUUAAUUAAAGAUGAUUUUAUUGAUAGUUGAUAUUAUUGACACUCUAAAAAAUCAUUUUGUACUUCUCAAAUUUAUUUUUCUUUCUAAAUAUACAAAAUUAGAAGUGCAUGUCUCAUAAUUGUUAAACAAACCUACAUAUUGAACAAAAAUGCACAUUUACUUUUUAGUAGGGGGAUUAUCUUAAAACACUCACUUAACAUACCCAAACUACUCUCACACACACCCUCUUCAUGUAACACAGUUCUGUAGUGUAGGAUACAACUGUCUUGCUCUCCUAAGAUUCUCAUUUUGAGGACCAAAUGCAUAUUAGCCACAAGAUUAUAUUAGUUUAGAUCCAAAAGUUUAAAAUAUUUGACAACUUAAUAAAACAAAACCAACUUAAAAUUUAUGAACCAUAAAAAAAAAACUCAUUUUCUUGUUUUGUUUUAUUAAGUUGUUAAAUAUUUUAUGCCUUUGGAUCUAAACUAAUAUAAUCAUGUGGCUAAUAUGCAUUUAGUCCUCACUGAUUCUCAAAAUGAAGACAUUAGGAGAGUAGUACUCCACUACUCAGGUACAACAAUUGUUACAACCAGUCCAUAAUUUUAUUUUAUUUAAAAAAAAAAUGUGAAACGAUCAAAAUGCCCUUAGAGGUAUGUGUUGACUUUCAUUGACUUACUGGUCAGGACACAUGUGACAUAUUAAUUAGUAUAUUCUAACAACACUCGUUAUUAUGAACGACUAAUCAUAAACAUAGCGAAAAUUAGAACUAGAAGAAAGAUUCUACGAAACACGUAUUAAUCAUUUUAUUUAAAGUAGUGGAAAAGAUAAUAACGCUAGUUAUAAAAUAUUAGUGAUGGAAUAAAAAUAAAUAAUUAUAGAGAAAUAAAAGAGAAGAGGGGAGAACUCUCGAGAAGGGGAGACGUCGGUGGAGAAGAAAGAAAAAAAAAGAAGGAAGGACGAUGGGGAUGGGGGAUUCUUGUUGCUGUGGAUGUUGAGAUCAGCGGGAACUCCCCCAUGCUUCAGGUUUGAGUUGUAUCGUUUCAUCUCUAUAAAAUACUAACAUGUGUCAAAAUAUAGAAAUAGAUAUCUAGCACUUCAACGAUAGAGACCAGUGUAAACCUUACUGUAUUCUGAUAAAGAAGAUAGAAGGAAGAUGGACGAGGGAAAUGUUUACAGAGAGGGAGAGAGAGAGAGGGAAGAAAGAUCUUUUUUCCAUUCAACAUACACACAUACACUGAUUACUGUUAUAUAUCAGUUUACAUGUUUACACAUUCCUUAUAACUACCCAAUCUAACUUCCUUCCUUAUCUAAUGACAAGUGGCAUCUUAUAAGCCAUUGGAUCACUAUCCUCAACAUCCCCCCGCAAGCUCAGGAGAGGAGUAACCUAACCUGAGGUUGUUACAAUGCGUUCGAAACAAUGGAGCAGAUAAUCCCUUAGUUAAAAUAUCAGCAAACUGAUCACCAGAGGUAACAAAUUGAACCUGCAGCAACCUUUUAGCAACUCGUUCUCGCACAAAAUGGAUGUCCACCUCAAUGUGUUUAGUUCGCUGAUGCAAAACUGGAUUACACGACAAUGCUAUUGCUGACAUAUUGUCACAGAAAAGAAUAGGUGGAGUAGUAACUUGAAUUUGGAGGAAGUCAAGUAAUUGUUUAAUCCAGUCAAGUUCAGCUGCAGUGGUGGAUAAGGCCCUGUAUUCAGCCUCAGUAGAUGAUCUAGAUACUGUUUGCUGCUUCUUAGAGGACCAAGAGAUGGGGUUAUGACCAAGGAAUACUACAAAACCGGUUGUUGAUCUCCUGUCGUUAGGAUCACCAGCCCAAUCAGCGUCUGAGAAAGCAUGUAAGUCCAUAGAACCUGGCACAUAGUUAAUACCAAGCUUGACAGUACCCUUAAGAUAUCUGAGAAUCCUUUUUACUGCAACAUAAUGUGAUUCCAUAGGCUUGUGCAUGAACUGACACACCUGAUGUACUGCAAACGCAAUGUCCGGCCGUGUAAAUGUGAGGUAUUGUAAAGCUCCAACUAUACUCCUGUAAAGUGCAGGAUUGUUGAAAGGUUUCCCAUCAUCCAACAGCAGCCUAUUAUAUGGUAAACAAGGUGUGGCACAAGAUUCUGAUUCUAACAUCUCAGUCUUUGUAAGAAGAUCAGUAACAUACUUUGUUUGGGAUAGGAAUAAGCCAUCAACAUGUUGAAUGAUCUGAAUCCCCAGAAAGUAGUGUAAAGGACCUAAAUCCUUGAUUUCAAAUUCCUUGGUUAAUGCAGCAAUGACAUCAACCAUAACGGAUGCAGUGUUUCCAGUGAUUAUUAUAUCAUCCACGUAUAAUAAGAGAAUCACAACUGAGGAACCACCUUGCUUCACAAAAAGUGAUGAAUAUGCAUAAGUUGCAUUAAAGCCAAUAGUAGGAAGAAAACUGGUGAAUCUGUCAUUCCAAGCCCUCGGGCCUUGUUUAAGGCCAUACAGAGACUUAUGGAGUCUGCAAACAUAAUCUGAACGGUGAACAUCAAGAAAUCCAGGUGGUUGAGACAUAUAAACCUCAUCCUGCAAUGUGCCAUGAAGAAAUGCAUUCUUCACAUUUAGUUGUCUUAGUGUCCAACCAAAAGUAGCUGCCAAGGCCAACACAAAUCUUACAGUAGUUGGUUUGACUACGGGACUAAAUGUUUCCCCAUAAUCAACGCCUUCUUCCUGAUUAAAACCUUUAGCAACUAGCCUAGCCUUAUACCUCCCAAUUGUUCCAUCAGCAUUUCUUUUAAUCUUGAAUACCCAUUUACAUCCAACUAAGUUUUUAGUUGGAGGUAAAGGUACUAAAGUCCAUGUGCCCUGAGAAUGUAAUGCAAAAAGCUUUUCCUUCAUUGCAUUGACCCAAACUUCACUCUUUAAUGUUGACUUAUAGGUGGCAGGUUCAACAGUCGAUAAAUCGACCCCCUCAUUCUCAUGAAAAGUUGCUAAAAGAGCCUUCUUCUUGGAAAUCCCACUUUUUGACCGAGUUUGCAUUGGAUGCAAAUUCAAUGAAGGAAUGGGGAGUACCACUUGUAAGUGCUCUGGUUGGAAAUCAGGGGUCACAGGGAUAACGGAAGAUGAUGAAUGUUCAAUUGCAGUAAUGGAUUGUGAAGAGUGUUGCACUACUGGAGGAUCAGGGGAUGGUGAUAUGAAAACAAGUGGUGGAGAGUCUGGAGGUGGUGAAUGUGGUAUUAAGGUAGGCUGAGAAGGACUAGAGUGUGAUGUGGAAGAAUUAGGGGUAUGGACAAUCGAAGAUGUAAGCACAUUUUGAAGAUUAGGGACAGGUAGAGGUAUUGAUGCUGAUAUAGAUGAUGAUCGAGACACUGGUAAAGGAUGUGGAGCAGCCAAAGAUGAGUAAGGAAACUCAUUCUCAUCAAAGAGGACAUGUCGAGAAAUAAAGACUUUCUUUCUGGACACGUCAUAACAGAUGAAACCUUUGUAUUUAGAAGCAUAACCAAGAAAUACACAUUUACUGGUUCUAGGUUGCAACUUGGUUGAAUUAAAAGGCCUUAACAGUGGGUAGCAUGAGCAGCCAAAAAUUCUUAAAUGGUUAACUUCAGGGACAUAUCCAAAUAGGACUUCAAAUGGUGAUUUAUGAUGAAGUGUUUGAGUAGGCAUUCUAUUAAUGAGAUAAACUGAGGUUUGACACGCAAAGGACCAGAAACUUGGAGGUAACUUAGCUUGUUGUAACAGGGUGAUGGAUGUUUCAAUAAUGUGUCUGUGCUUUCUCUCGGCCAUACCAUUUUGUUCAGGUGUGUGAGGACAUGACAUGUGAUGAGUUAUUCCAUUUUGAACUAGAAAGGACUGAAAUUGCUUGCCUAUGUAUUCACCCCCACCAUCACUUUGUAAGGUUUUAAUGGAAACAGAGAAAUGAUUUAACACAUACUGAUAAAAGGCAGCAAAGACAGAACAAACAGCUGAUUUAUUAGUGAUAGGAAAAAUCCAACAGUACCUUGUAUAUUCAUCUAUGAAGGUGACAUAGUAUUUAAAACCUUCUAUAGACAUACAAGGGGCAGGGCCCCACACAUCACUAUGAACAAUCUUAAAUGAUUUAUUGGAUUUUGACAAAACAGGCAUAAAAGGCAAUUUGCUAAAUUUUCCCUCUAAGCAUGUAGUACACAACAUUGGAGAAGAAUCUGGUACCACAUGUAUGUUGGACUUUUUAAGAAUGAGAGAGGUUAGGGGAUUAGAGGGAUGACCUAGUCGACUAUGCCAUAAGCUAGAGUUGACUUGAUGACCAAGAAAUGCAGUGGCUGGAAAAAUUGGUUUGGAGGAUGCAUAUCUGGUAGGCAUAGGAAUAGGGUACAAUCCAUUAUUGCAUAGGCCUCUGAACAGUACUCUCCCUGUGACUUUGUCCUGAAUCCAAAAACAGAAAGCAUAAAAAAUUAGCCAACAAUUGUUGUCAAGACAUAGUCUAUGUACUGAGAGCAAGUUUUGAGUAAGUUUAGGCACACAAAGCACAGAGUUCAACUUUAAUUUGUGAGCAGAAGUUUGCAAAACAGAAGAGCCCACAUGGGAUACACUCAAACCUUCACCAUUGGCAGUCAAUCAUUUCUGUGGAUGGAUAUGGUGUAGCUAGAGACAGAUUGCUUAGAUCAGCAGUCAUAUGGUUGGUAGCACCUGAAUCAGUGAGCCAUACUUGUGGAUUCAAUUGUUGGUCCAAAAAUGGCGCUGAGGCAUUAACAUGAUAUGCAUUCAUGGAUGACUGAGAAGUUGGACCAUUGGAAUUUCUGAAGUGACAGAACUGAGCACUGUGGUUUCUUUUUCCACAGAUUUGACAACCAUCAGGAAUUGGAGAAUCAGUGUUCCUAAAUCUGCAUGUAUCAGCAAAGUGACCAUAUUUCCCACAAAUUUGACAUGGUGACACCUGAGAAUUAGAGGAAGAGUAUUGGCUUGAUGGAGAGGUACCAAGGAUCCCUCGAGUUGAAUUGUUAUAAAACUGCUUGCCAUUGAAAGACUUAGAAUUGGAACCAUACUGAAAUUUCCCCCUUCCUUUAUUCUUGUUGUAGAAAGGUCUGUAGCUCGAAGGAUGAUAACCAGAUGAGUUACCAUCAGAAGAUCCACCUCCAGAGGUGAAAUGAGUCCCAGUGUUGAACCCUUUUUCCGUGGACUGUACAGUAGAAUCUCUAGCUACCAUAGCAGACAUAAAUGGAGUAGCAGAUAUAUUUUCAAGCAUGGCUUCCUCAGCAAGAAGUUGAGACAUAAGAUCUUUGAGGGAAAUUACACUGUCUCUUCCUCUAAUAAUCGAACGGAUGGUAUUAAACUCAGCAGAUAAGCCAUUUAGAGUAAGAAUUACUAUAUCCUCAUCAUCAAAUUUCACACUAGCAGCAGACAAGUAAUCUCUAGCCUCUUUGAUCCUUUGCAAAUAUAGAGAGAUCGAAUCAUUACCCUUUUUAAUGUUUUGAAGUGCAGAUUUCAUUUGAAAGAUACUAGUACGAGUCACUAUCGAAAAUUGUUCCUUCAGUCGAUUCCAGAGAUCUUGAGCACUUGUACUGCCAAUAACACACACGACACUGCAGGUGGUGAAAGAGUCGCCGUGAUCAAUUGCAUGAGGGCACGAUCAUGCAUCUUCCAAAUCUUGUAAGCCUCAGAGUCAGCUUGAGUGAAUGAGGGACCAGAAUUAGUCUCUGAUUCACUAGAAGUAGCUGUGAGAAAUCUUGGUGGACAGGGCAUUGAACCAUCAACAAACCCCAUAAUGCCAUAACCUUCGAGCAUCAAUUGAACCUGGAAAUUCCAAGUCAAGUAAUUGGAUUCAUCCAGCUUAACCGUUACAGAAGUAGAAACUGUGGAGAUAAGAGACGUAAUCGGGGACUGAAUGAUUUGUAGUUGAGAAGCCGUCACCAUUAUGAAGUAAUUCGACAAACAAGAACCAAGAAACUUUUGACAAACACCUGGUGUGCAAGAAUGUGUUUCUUGCAGAAAGAGAGAAAGAACACGAUGAAGACCCAAAAAAAAAACAGAAUCAAUUGUUUUCAAGAAGAAACUAAUGGAGAUCAGGAAGAAAGAAGAUGAAAAGCGGAAACGGAAGCAGUAUCACCAAGAUCGAUCACCGAGCGACAAGCUAUUCCGGCGAUGAUACCAUGUAAACCUUACUGUAUUCUGAUAAAGAAGAUAGAAGGAAGAUGACGAGGGAAAUGUUUACAGAGAGGGAGAGAGAGAGAGGGAAGAAAGAUCUUUUUUCCAUUCAACAUACACACACACACUGAUUACUGUUAUAUAUCAGUUUACAUGUUUACACAUUCCUUAUAACUACCCAAUCUAACUUCCUUCCUUAUCUAAUGACAAGUGGCAUCUUAUAAGCCAUUGGAUCACUAUCCUCAACAACCAGUACUUCCAAGAAUUUUACUCAAUCUCCCUUGCUUUCUCCUUGUUAUUUGGGCGAUGUGAGACGAAAACUAGCUCUGGGUUUCUUACUUUUUAUUGGGGUUGUUUACAGCAGUUGAUGAUCCUUCCAUUGUUGCAAGUAUUUCCCAAGAAACUUCUGGGUGCAAUUGUGUGUGUGUGUGUGUGUGUGUAACAUUGACAUACAUGCUUCAAUCAAACAGAACCCUCAUCAUACAUAAAUAUAUAUUGCUUUGUUUAUAAAUUUGAUGUGUUUUAAGCUCUGCACUUUGUAUAACCUUUUAUGAAAGGCUAAAUUGAUUUAGUGGAUGUAAGAAUCUGUCAAGUAUGUGUGAUUAGAGAAUUAGUCACUUGAAUUACAUAGAGUCCGAUUUUUGCUUUAUUCUAAAAUGCAUUUUCUAAUUAAACGAAGAUGGAGCUGGACAAAUAGUGACCCAAAUUAUGUUAUAUAAUGAAUUGACGAUGAUUUAUUUUGAAUGAACGCUUCUAUUCAACAUGAUGUGAAAUUAAAUUUCUUACUUGUUGGGAAAUGAUGUUGGUACACUGAGAUUUAUAGUUAUAGACGGAAAGUAUAAGAUUAGCUUGUAUUUUUUACGCACUUCAAAAUAUAUUCUCUGUUAUUGGAAGUACCUUUGGGGUUGAGUGAAUCAAAUGCACGGUUAGGUCCAUGUAAUAAGUAAGUACUAAGUAGAGACUCUGUCUUCCUAGGUAAAGACCCCAAAGAAAGUCAGUACGCAUGGGUAUACUGGUGGCCUUAUUUCGAUGUAGUGGCCAUGACCUUUUGUUAGAGCUUAUAGACAUGACAUUGAGGCCUGACCAAGAUGUUUAGAACCAAGAUUGAGAAACGUUGAUAAAGGAUUUCAUAAAUAAAAUAACGUAUAAUCAACCGGGGUUUUUAGAAUAACCAUGAAAUCUUCUAUUGAGGUGAGUUAGUAGCAUAGGUAUAGAUUUAUUUAUUAAGGUGAACUACGAAUGGUUUGAUCCCUAUUUAGGGUACGUAGGCAGUCUAACGAGGAAGUUAGAUGCAGCCAUAAAGCAUACGAAAAAUUACUAUGGAAUUGGGACUUGAGUUGUGCUUUGUUCGUAGUAAGUUAGAUAUACAGGCAUUUGGUGGCGUCACGUGUUGAUCCUGGACGUAUGUUGGGAUCGGGGUGUGACAACAAUACUCCACCGCAAUAUUGCAAUAUUUCAACAAACAGUGACUACAUAUACCUUGUAUUUUCAGUACAAAACUACUAAAACAAGUUCAAGUAUUCGGUUGCCUAUGACAUAAAUUAUAUAAAUUUGUAAAGUUCUUCCAAAAUAUUUUCGCGUGGCUUUACCUUGUACUUUCAGUGAGGGACUACUAAAAGAAGUUGAAAUAUCCAUUCCUUAUGACCGAAACUAUAGACACAUUUUGUUACAUCUCAACCGAAAUAUCUUUAUGUAUUGGUUGUUUUGUCUACCAAAACUGUAUCGUGGUUUUUAGUUUGGCCAUUAGUAUGACACUGUUAAACCUGAUGUACAACAACAACAACAACAACAACAACAACAACAAAGCCUUUUCCCACUAAGUGGGGUCGGCUAUAUGAAUCCUAGAACGCCAUUGCGCUCGGUUUUGUGUCAUGUCCUCUGUUAGAUCCAAGUACUCUAAGUCUUUUCUUAGAGUCUCUUCCAAAGUUGUCCUAGGUCUUUCUCUACCCCUUCGGCCCUGAACCUCUGUCCCGUAGUCACAUCUUCGAACCGGAGCGUCAGUCGGCCUUCUUUGCACAUGUUCAAAAUCACCGGAGCCGAUUUUCUCUCAUCUUUCCUACAAUUUCGGCUACUCCUACUUUACCUCGGAUAUCCUCAUUCCCAAUCUUAUCCUUUCUCGUGUGCCCACACAUCCCACGAAGCAUCCUCAUCUCCGCUACACCCAUUUUGUGUACGUGUUGAUGCUUCACCACCCAACAUUCUGUGCCAUACAACAUCGCUAGCCUUAUUGCCGUCCUAUAAAAUUUUCCCUUGAGCUUCAGUGGCCUACGACGGUCACACAACACGCCGGAUGCACUCUUUCCAUCCAGCUCGUAUUCUAUGGUUGAGAUCUCCAUCUAAUUCUCCGUUCUCUUGCAAGAUAGAUCCUAGGUAGCGAAAACGAUCGCUUUUUGUGAUCUUCGCUAGAUUGCUCCGGUCAUUAGUGUGGAUAAGUAUAUAAAUGGAUAGAGAUAGGAAAGCAAACACAAGAUGUACGUGGUUCACCCAGAUUGGCUACGUCGUCCACGGAAUAGAAGAGUUCUCAUUAAUUGUGAAGGGUUUACACAAGUACAUAAGUUCAAGCUCUCAUUUAGUGAGUACAAGUGAAUGAUUUAGUACAAAUGACAUUAGGAAAUAUUGUGGGAGAAUGAUCUCGUAAUCACGAAACUUUCUAAGUAUCGGAGUGUGGUGUCGUCUUGACUUGCCUUAUCUGUCUCAUAGGUAGAUGUGGCAUCUUCUCUGGAAGUACUCUUCCUCCAUCCAGGGGUGGUAUCUUUAACUGGUGGAGAUGCACAAGGUAAUGUAUCAAUUUCACUUGAAGCUUACUUGUAGUUUCAGGCUUGGUCAAGCGCGAUACAAAACCAUGUAGUAGGAGUCCCCCAAGUCGCCGAGCUAGGGGGUCUGCUGAAAGAGGUGACAGACAAGGUAAGCAAUCAGAGCUCCGACUGAUUGUUCACCUUCUCCCCAUCUUGCAGCAGCAUGAAGGAUAAAGAGAAGAAAAAUGAGAAGAGAUGAUAUGAGAUACUUUUGCUUUUGAAGAAGUAACUUUCCACAGGCUUAUUCUUGAACUGAGCUGGAGGGUUUUCUGGUUUUCUCCAGAGUAUAAAGCCGACUGAAGAAUUUGAGGGUCAAAACAAGUCCAUCAAAUCUAGAGUACGUUCCACCCUGCUGAUAUGGGAUACUUUUGCUUUUGACAGAGUAAUGAAUGUAUCGGCACGUGUGCUGUUACGCUUGUCUCCAUAUGCUUCCUUGUAUCCUUCGCACUUGCCCUAUCUGUUCCUCAAGCAGAUGCGGAAUCUUCCCUGGAAACAUAAGAUGUUGAAGAUGAGUACUCGAGAGCAAUGCCAGGUAAGUAAUCAGGUAAGGGGUUCCAGGCAGUCAGUUCCUGGCUGGAAGCUUGAUUCCAAGUGCUGACUGAUUGCUCUCUUUCUCAUUGUCUUGCAGGUAAAAACAAGGCCAAAAGAAAAGACAGGGAAAAAACAUGAUAUGGGAUACUCUUGCUUUUAACCCUGAUGAUAUGAGAUAUUCUUGCUCUAGUAUAGCUUGUUUGCAGAGGUAUUAUCGGGGGGAAAGAAAGAUGAAUAUUUUGAAAGGCUUCGUUGGGAGUGCCCUUUCAGAUAUGAUGAAGGGUUGAGCAUUUUUGCAGGUCUGCCUGUCCGUUGGGGAUGGAGGUCGACAUAUAUAGGAGUCUCCCUAACAACAAGUAGUAAUGCUAUUCCUUUACCCUGCUUGGUCAUCAUAGCACGGUAGUGGGAGCUGCCAGUUUCACAUGUUUUAACUCUGUCAGAGCACUUUGAAAAAGUGGUCUGUGGUAUCUGGCUCUCGAGAUUCGGAGAACGAUGCCUCUUCGAUUUUUGAGAAAGCAAUCAUGCUGGGGGUAUGACUCUCGAGAUUCGGAGAGCAGUGUCUCUUCGAUUUUUGAGGAAGUAAUCAUGUUGGGAGUCUGGCUCUCGAGAUUCGGAGGGCGGUGCCUCUUCGAUUUUGGAGCAAGCAAUCUUGUUGGGAGUGUUGUCUCGAAUGUGAGUAAAGGUUGGGCAUGUUUGCUAGUCUACCUUGCCACGAAGCACAAAGGUUGACACACAGGGACUUUCCAAUUAUCCAGCAAUGGUACUGUUCCUUUACCCUCUCUUCGAUUUUGAGAAAGUAGUCAUGUUGGGAGUCUGGCUCUCGAGAUUCGGAGGACGGUGCCUCUUCGAUUUUGGAGCAAGCAAUCUUAUUGGGAGUGUUUUCUCGAAUGUGAGUAAAGGUUAGGCAUGUUUGCUAGUCUACCUUGCCACGAAGCACAGAGGUUGACACACAGGGACUUUCCAAUUAUCCAGCAGUGGUACUGUUCCUUUACAGUUGUGGGUAAUAAUAUGGUAGCUAGACCUUCAAAAUUUAUGUGUCUAAACUUUUGUUAGUGCUGUUUCUUUGCUAUUCUUUUACCUUUCUUGGUCAGAGCGAUGUAGUGGGAGCUGCAAGCUUCACGUGCUCAACUUUGGCAGAGAACUUUGGCAAAGUUAUUUGUGGUACCCAUGAGCUAUUGUUGCGUGUGGGAAGUGGGUGAUUGAACAGUAAGAUUCAUGUGCUUUCUACUUCACCAGAAGUCUUCGAUAGAAUGCCCAUAAUUUCUACAAAGCUGAGUGUGCGUGUGACAGGUGCUGACAAGGCUAGAAAAGUAGGUGCUUCUUCGAUUUCUGAGAUCGGCCCUCGUGGUCUCUAAGCAGCCCAGCUUUUGAGAAAGCGAGCGCCUCUUCGAUUGAUUCGGAGAACGAUGCCUCAUCGAUUUUUGAAAAAGCAAUCAUGCUGGGGGUCUGGCUCUGGAGAUUCGGGGAGCAGUGUCUCUUCGAUUUUUGAGAAAGUAAUCAUGUUGGGAGUCUGGCUCUCGAGAUUCGGAGGGCGGUGCCUCUUCGAUUUUGGAGCAAGCAAUCUUGUUGGGAGUGUUUUCUCGAAUGUGAGUAAAGGUUGGGCAUGUUUGCUAGUCUACCUUGCCACGAAGCACAGAGGUUGACACACAGGGACUUUUCAAUUAUCCAGCAAUGGUACUGUUCCUUUACCCUCUCUUCGAUUUUUAAGAAAGUAGUCAUGUUGGGAGUCUGGCUCUCGAGAUUCGGAGGACGGUGCCUCUUCGAUUUUGGAGCAAGCAAUCUUAUUGGGAGUGUUUUCUCGAAUGUGAGUAAAGGUUGGGCAUGUUUGCUAGUCUACCUUGCCACGAAGCACAGAGGUUGACACACAGGGACUUUCCAAUUAUCCAGCAGUGGUACUGUUCCUUUACCCUUGUGGGUAAUAAUAUGGUAGCUAGACCUUCAAAAUUUAUGGGUCUAAACUUUGUUAGUGCUGUUUCUUUGCUAUUCUUUUACCCUUCUUGGUCAGAGCGAUGUAGUGGGAGCUGCAAGCUUCACGUGCUCAACUUUGGCAGAGAACUUUGGCAAAGUUAUUUGUGGUACCCAUGAGCUAUUGUUGCGUGUGUGGGAAGUGGGUGAUUGAAUAGUAAGAUUCAUGUGUUUUCUACUUCCCCAGAAGUCUUUGACAGAAUGCCCAUAAUUUCCGCAAAACUGAGUGUGCGUGUGACAGGUGCUGACAAGGCUGGAAAAGGCUGGAAAAGUAGGUGCCUCUUCGAUUUCUGAUAUCGGCCCUAGUGGUCUCUGGGGAGCCCAGCUUUUGAGAAAGCGAGCGCCUCUUCGAUUUUUGAGAUCGGCCUUCGUGGUGGUCUUUGAGCAGCCCAACUUUUGAGAAAGCAAACGCCUCUUCGAUUUCUGAGAUCAACCCUCGUGAUCUCUAAGCAGCCCAGCUUUUGAGAAAGCAAACGCCUCUUCGAUUUCUGAGCAGGCGCCUCUUCGAUUUCUGAAGCUUCGUCGAGUGCAGAUUUUUAUAGGGGCUGUCAUUAAGUUCCAAAGCACACUUGAAUCUCCACCAGUAGAAGCUUCAUUCUUGCACUUCUAAGAUCUUGAUUUGUCCGACCUCUUCUCUCUUCAACACCUUUGAAAAUGUCUGGCCCCUCCGACCGUCGUUUUGACUUGAACCUUGUUGAAGAGGCAGCCCCGCCUUCUCCAGACAACAUAUGGCGCCCAUCCUUCGUCUCCCCUACUGGUCCUCUUACCGUUGGGGAUUCCGUGAUGAAGAAUGAUAUGACCGCUGCGGUGGUGGCCAGGAACCUUCUCACUCCCAAAGAUAACAGACUACUUUCCAAACGGUCUGAUGAGUUAGCUGUUAAGGAUUCGCUGGCUCUCAGUGUUCAGUGUGCAGGUUCUGUGUCUAAUAUGGCCCAACGCCUAUUUGCUCGAACCCGCCAAGUUGAAUCAUUGGCGGCUGAAGUGAUGAGUCUCAAACAGGAGAUUAGAGGGCUCAAGCAUGAGAAUAAACAAUUGCACCGGCUCGCACAUGACUAUGCUACAAACAUGAAGAGGAAGCUUGACCAGAUGAAGGAAACUGAUGGUCAGGUUUUACUUGAUCAUCAGAGAUUUUGUGGGUUUGUUCCAAAGGCAUUUAUUGCCUUCGUCUUCUGGGGCUGUACCGCGUAAUGAAGCUCCAAAUGAUCAACCUCUGAUGCCUCCUUCUAGGGUUCUGUCCAGUACUGAGGCUCCAAAUGAUCCCCCUCCGGUGCCUUCUCUUUCUGGGGCUCUACCGACUGUUGAGACUUCUCCUAAGCAACCUUUGUGAAGGCUCCCUCUUGUGUGCUUAUUUUGACUCAUGUAUAUGUACAUAUUUGUAGCUUAUCGGGGAUAUCAAUAAAUAAGCUUUCCUUCAUUUCAACGUAUUGUGUUAAAUACACCAAAGCCUUCUUCGCUAAGUUCUUUGAAUUUUCUUUUGUUAAAGCUUGUAUGUUGAAGCUUUCUGAGUGGAGCAUGUAGGUUGGGGUAGUGUUCCCUUAAUUUCCCGAGUGAGGAAAACUUCUCGGUUGGAGACUUGGAAAAUCCAAGUCACUGAGUGGGAUCGGCUAUAUGAAUCUUAGAACGCCAUUGUGCUCGAUCCUGUGUCAUGUCCUUCGUUAGAUCCAAGUACUCUAAGUCUUUUCUUAGAGUCUCUUCCAAAGUUUUCCUAGGUCUUCCUCUACCCCUUCGGCCCUGAACCUCUGUCCCAUAGUCGCAUCUUCUAAUCGGAACGUCAGUAGUAGGCCUUCUUUGCACAUGUCCAAACCACCGUAACCGAUUUUCUCUCAUCUUUCCUUCAAUUUCGGCUACUCCUACUUUACCCCGGAUAUCCUCAUUCCUAAUCUUAUCCUUUCUCGUGUGCCCACACAUCCAACGAAGCAUCCUCAUCUCCGCUACACCCAUUUUGUGUACGUGUUGAUGUUUCACCGUCCAACAUUCUGUGCCAUACAGCAUCGCCGGCCUUAUUGCCGUCCUAUAAAAUUUUCCCUUGAGCUUCAGUGGCAUACGGCGGUCACACAACACGCCGGAUGCACUCUUCCACUUCAUCCAUCCAGCUUGUAUUCUAUGGUUGAGAUCUCCAUCUAAUUCUCCGUUCUUUUGCAAGAUAGAUCCUAGGUAACAAAAACGGUCGCUCUUUGGUAUUUCUUGAUCUCCGAUCCUCACCCCUAACUCGUUUUGGCCUCCAUUUGCACUGAACUUGCACUCCAUAUAUUCUGUCUUUGAUCGGCUUAGGCGAAGACCUUUAGAUUCCAACACUUCUCUCCAAAGGUUAAGCUUUGCAUUUACCCCUUCCUGAGUUUCAUCUAUCAACACUAUAUCGUCUGCGAAAAGCAUACACCAAGGAAUAUCAUCUUGAAUAUGUCGUGUUAACUCAUCCAUUACCAACGCAAAAAGGUAAGGACUUAAGGAUGAGCCUUGAUGUAAUCCUACAGUUAUGGGAAAGCUUUCGGUUUGUCCUUCAUGAGUUCUUACAGCAGUCUUUUGCUCCUUCAUACAUAUCCUUUAUAGCUUGGAUAUAUGCUACUCGUACUCCUUUUCUUCUCUAAAAUCCUCCAAAGAAUGUCUCUUGGGACCCUAUCAUACGCUUUUUCCAAAUCUAUAAAGACCAUGUGUAAAUCCUUUUUCCCAUCUCUAUAUCUUUCCAUCAAUCUUCGUAAGAGAUAGAUUGCCUCCAUGGUUGAGCGCCCUGGCAUGAACCCGAAUUGGUUAUCCGAAACCCGUGUCUCUUGCCUCAAUCUAUGCUCAAUGACUCUCUCCCAGAGCUUCAUUGUAUGACUCAUUAGCUUAAUACCCCUAUAGUUCAUGCAAUUUUGUACGUCGCCCUUAUUCUUGUAGAUAGGCACCAAAGUGCUCAUUCGCCACUCAUUUGGCAUCUUCUUCGUUUUCAAAAUCCUAUUGAAAAGGUCAGUGAGCCAUGUUAUACCUGUCUCUCCCAAAAGUUUCCACACUUCGAUUGGUAUAUCGUCUGGGCCUAUUGCUUUUUUAUGCUUCAUCUUCUUCAAAGCUACAACCACUUCUUCCUUCCGGAUUCGACGAUAAAAAGAGUAGUUUCUACACUCUUCUGAGUUACUCAACUCCCAUAAAGAAGCACUCAUUUCAUGUCCUUCAUUGAAAAGAUUAUGAAAAUAACAUCUCCAUCUAUCUUUAACCGCGUUCUCUGUAGCAAGAACCUUUCCAUCCUCAUCCUUGAUGCACCUCACUUGGUUUAGGUCCCUUGUCUUCUUUUCCCUUGCUCUAGAUAGUUUAUAGAUAUCCAACUCUCCUUCUUUGGUAUCUAGUCGUUUAUACAUAUCGUUGUAAGCCGCUAACUUAGCUUCUCUGACAGCUUUCUUCGCCUCUUGCUUCGCUUUUCUAUACCUUUCACCAUUUUCAUCAGUCCUCUCCUUGUAUAAGGCUUUACAACAUUCCUUCUUAGCCUUCACCUUUAUUUGUACCUCCUCAUUCCACCACCAAGAUUCCUUUUGGUGUGGGGCAAAGCCCUUGGACUCUCCUAAUACCUCUUUUGCUACUUUUCGGAUACAACUAGCCAUGGAAUCCCACAUUUGGCUAGCUUCCCCCUCUCUAUCCCACACACAUUGGGUGAUUACCUUCUCUUUGAAAAUGGCUUGUUUUUUCUUCUUUUAGAUUCCACCAUCUAGUCCUUGGGCACUUCCAAGUCUUGUUCUUUUGUCUUACUCUUUUGAUAUGUACAUCCAUCACCAACAAGCGAUGUUGAUUAGCCACGCUCUCUCUCCUGGUAUAACUUUGCAAUCCUUACAAGUUAUACGAUCCCCUUUCCUCAUUAGAAGAAAAUCUAUUUGUGUUUUUGACGACCCACUCUUGUAGGUGAUCACAUGUUUCUUCUCUCUUCUUAAAGAAGGUGUUGGCUAAGAAGAGAUCAUAUGCCAUUGCAAAAUCCAAGAUAGCUUCCCCAUCCUCGUUUCUCUCCCCAAAACCAUGGCCACCAUGAAAACCUCCAUAGUUGCCUGUCUCCCUGCCCACGUGUCCAUUUAAAUCUCCUCCUAUAAAUAACUUCUCCGUCUGAGCAAUUCCUUGCACCAAGUCUCCAAGAUCUUCCCAAAAUUUCUCCUUCGAACUCGUAUCCAACCCUACUUGAGGUGCGUACGCACUAAUCACAUUGAUAAGUUCUUGUCCUAUUACAAUCUUGAUUGCCAUGAUUCUAUCUCCUACCCUCUUGACAUCUACAACAUCUUGUACCAAGGUCUUGUCCACGAUUAUGCCAACACCGUUUCUCGUUCUAUUUGUGCCCGAAUACCAAAGUUUAAACCCUGAGUUUUCUAGAUCCUUUGCCUUACUACCAACCCACUUAGUUUCUUGUAGGCACAUAAUAUUUAUCCUUCUCCUCACCAUAACUUCCACUACUUCCAUAGAUUUUUCCCGUUAAGGUUCCUAUAUUCCACGUUCCUAAACGCAUUUUGCUCUCUUGAACUCUACCCUUCUGUCCUAGCUUCUUCACCCUCCCCCGUCUAAUAGGAUCAAAGUACUUCUUUUGUGUGUCCCGGGUAAAGUUGAUAGGAGCAUAUGCUCCCAAACAACUUUGAGUGGAGUCGUUCGAAAAGAAGUUUCUAUGGCCCCCUUGCUCAUUUAACACUGCAUCCGGGUGCCGAUGGAGAUACAGCGACCCUUGCUCACUUAUCACUGUGCUCAGGCCACACAGCGCGCCACUUACGGGUGACGCCCUAGCUUUAGCGCGAUUUUGUUCUGGAUUCAUUUUCAUAAGGAUUCGACGUGAUCAUGGAGUGCCGGCUGUCGACUACCUGACGCCCUCCCCCUCCUCCUUUAUCCGGGCUUGGGACCAGCCAUGUAAGACAUAGGCGGAGUUACUGUUAAACCUGAUGUAAAAUGAAAAAAAUAUGAAUCGUGCUUCAUGUGGAGGGUAGGUUUAAUUACUUUGUUCAAAAUGAAGCCAUGUCUCGUGGUUUAGGGUUUGACCAAUAAUAUGAUAUUGUCUGCCGAAGGAUCUUCUUCGGCGUGUAAUUAUAUGCACCUUCAGUGAUUAGGGUUUACUUUGUUCUACAACGAAGGACGAGAGCAAGUUUAGGAGCUUGAAGAAAAAUAGUCUUGAGAUGUAGGUUCUUACGUUGGAUUAUUUGUGGUGCAUGUGUAUAGAGAAAACAAAGUUUUAUGGUCAAACCGGAUUAAUGAUUCCUAUGGUGAUAUGGUAUUCAAGAUAGUCCAUGUGAUAAACAAAUUAGGAUAUGAACCCUUGCGGUGAAGAUUGUUGGCAAAUUGGGUUGUUUAGAUAUAGACCCUUAUAACUAUUAUCGUCUAGACAAAAACCCACCUCAUAUUAAACAUCCAAAUAAAAUCCAAAAUUCAAAAAGUCUGUCAUAUUGGCAAAUAAAUGACCUAUCCUUAUAAAAUAUUUACAACUUAUGCCAUAAUGACCUAAAUAUUUCAAUGGAUAUUAUUAUUACUCACCUUCAAUUAUGCUAGCAAUGAGCAAUUUUAAAACCACGUAUUACAGACUAUUUACCCAUAUUUUAAAAAUUCACUAAUUUACCUACAUUCUUUUGAUACAAACUAAUUACCUAUAUUUUAAAAAUUCACUAAUUUACCUACAUUCUUUUGUUACAAGCUAAUUUAUCUGCAUUUUUGUAGUACAUACUAAUUCACCAAUCUAUAAAUGGGGGUAAGGCUAGCCGACAUUCACCUCUCCCAGACCCUGCGUAAAGCGGGAGCCUUGUGCACUGGGUACGACCUUUUAUACUAAUUCACCAAUCUACUUAUUAAUUUACCUAUACAAAUAAUACUGUCAUAUAAUUAAUUAUAAUAUCCAAAGUAAUCAUAUACAUUUUUUUUCUUUACAAUAUCACGUCUAUGGGGAAGGUAAAUUAUUUUUACAGUAUUUCUAAUCUAAGUGGGUACUAACAUAUAGAUAGGUAAAUUAUUUUCUAUGAAAAGAAAAAAAAAUACAACCAUUAAUUUGUAUAAUUUUUUUGACACAAAUUAUUUGUCCAUGUUUCAACGUAAAACACCAUAAUAUUUUUAUUUAUAUUAUAUAUUGCAUUGAAAAGAAAGCCUAAUCAAACAAUAGGUUAAUUGACAUUUAAUUGCAUUGAAAACAAUAAAAUGCAAAAUUUAUUAAUAAUCAUAAGUCAAACCUAACUCACGUUACACUCUAUGAGUGUAUUUUAGGAACAUGAGAAUUAUAAAAACUGACAUUCCAAGCUUGUUAAGGAAAUUUGAUUAGUUGGACUCUAGUACUGACAUUCCAAACUUGUUAAGGAAAUUUGAUUAGUUGGACUCUAGUAAAUGGGGUUUAAGUCUGAAAAAAUAAAGAGGAUGGGUUUUAAGUGAGAAAAUAAGUUUUAAGGGGGGAACUCUCAUUUUGAGUUUUGGUAACCUUCUUCUCUCUUCCUUUCUCUGUGUCCUCAACUCUCUGAUCUCCAGGCUCUCAGACAUUUAUUCUUUCUGUUAACAUUCUUCUCUUUCUCUUUCUAAAUUUUGUCUCCGUCAAUGGAUUGAUGUGCGCAAAUUUAAUUCAAACAUAUAGUACUAAUUAAAAUAGCGGAAUUGCAAAAUGAAGCAAACAGAUGAUAAAACAAAGAAAGAUUAAUAAACUUAGCCAAGAAGAAUAAUAUGAGUAAGUAGCGUUAUAGCUUCAUUUAUUGGGGAAUAUGUUACACGCACAUCCUUUUUGAUCAAGUACUUCUCUCAUCCUUUUUGAUCACUUGAUUAACAAUUUAGUUCAAGUAAAUGGCCAAGAAGGACAAGAGUGAAGCUCCAACCAGAGAUCCAACGGCGUUCAUGCUACUUCCAUUAGGUGCUGGAGUAGAAGCUACAGGGCCAGCUGUGGCUGCAGCGGCGGGGGUGGCUGCAGCGGUGGUGGCUGCAGUGGGGGUGGCUGCAGAGGUGGUGGCUGCAGCGCCCUUUACAGGUGCAGCAGCCAUUGCUGCGCUGAUGCAGACGGCAACUACGAGGACAACCAAGGCAAUCUUCUUCAUGGCCAUUUUGCGAGCGGCGUGUGGUCGGUCAAUGAAUCGAAAACACACCUUGCAAUAGGAAUGUUAAGAGGCUCGUAGAAGUUUGUAGCUGUCCUGAGGAAUAUAGGAGGGCAGUGGGAGGUAUAUAUAGCUUUCUAUGGAGGAGGAUUUUGUUAUUUUUGGGAUGAAAUCUGUUGGAUGUUGUUUGAGGUUUGGAAGGGUUAGUACGUACGUGUAUGGUUUUGCAUGAACAACGCCUACGUGCAUGGGUAUAACAAACUAACAAAUUAAUUAAGUAAUAAAUACCAAGAAUAUAGGAGGAUAUGACCAAUAUUUAUACGUAUUUUGUACCAUUGUAUGUGAAGGUAAUACCAUGCAUAAUUACAGACUGAAAAAUGCGAGAAAUGCCACGUUUUUGUAGUACAUUUAUAUAUGUCCCAUCUAAUGUGUGGCCAAUGAUUAUCUAAUACUUAAAUUCGUCAACAAGAAUUACAUUCAAAUUGAAUCGACCUAAUGUGAAUCCGUUGAUAAUCAAAUUAUCGAAUUCAUAACAUUUUAUAGAUCAUCAACCUUAAUUUAUCAAAUUGAGAACUAUUAAGCAUCAAAUUCGUAUAAUUUAUUGUGGGAUUCUCUUAAGACCUAAACAAAUUAAAUCCUUAAUAGUAUGUGCUUUAUUUUCUUGAAAUGUUGGUAUAGUUCUAAAUACAGAAGAAAACUAGUAGUCUUUUUUGAAGAAAAACUUGGAUAAGGAUAUCCAAUCACAUAUAUCAUUCGUAAAAUAUUUAUGUCAAACAUCAAAUUAUUGUAUUAAAAUUUCACUCGACCUCACAAGAUUUCACUCAGUGUGAGCUCUACCAAAUAUUUACUCCUAUCUUUAGCGGUGAAUCAAGAAAUCUUUCAUGUGAAAACAAAACAUUUUCCUUCAUUGAUCUUUUCUUUGGUAAAGCAUCAUUUUUGAAGUUUCUUUACUCAACGGUCUAGAUAUUGCCACCCUAUACAACAAAGACAACAACCGACCAAUAGAGCCGUUAUGGGGACCACAAAAGGAACAAAAGGCUGACACGUCACCUUCCAAUCGUGGGGCCACAGGACAUAACGGGAGAGUAACGUUACCAUCCUCGUACUCAUAUUUUUGUUUGAAAAGUUUCAAAGUUUAAUUACAAAUAAUUAAAAUUAAAACGGUCUAUAAAUACAUGUCCCUCAGUCCCUCACCUUAUUCACUCAGCCUUGAACCCAGACGGACACACACACUCUCUCUCUCUCUCUCUCCCUCUCUCCCUCCCUCCCUCGCAGUUCGCUCAAUCCAUUCUUUGUUCCUCUCUCUAGAAAUGGCGCAAGUUAGCAUCUGCAAAGCUGUGUUCGUGAUGGUAAUCGCCAUUGUGCUCGUCUCAGUUACAGCUCAGGAUAGCGCGCCAGCACCAUCACCUGCAUUGGACGCUGGAGCCGGAGUUCCAGUGACCAUUUCCGGCGCUUUUGUUUACUCUUCGUUGCUCCUCUCUUUCUUUGCGCUGCUGCGGCAUUAGGGAGAUUUGAGACUGAGAUUGCUAUUUGAUUAUUGUGGUAUUUUCUGUAUCCUUUUGGAGAGUGGAUUUCAUCAUUUGUUAUUGUAUAUCGCUUCAUCCCAAUAUAUAAUACAGUACUGGUCUGAAUGUGCUAUUUUUGGCCUUCAAAUUUGCAUUUCUAGCGCCAACGGCCGCAGUGUAGCGGCCAUGGCCAUCUCUUUGGCCCGAUCUGACAGCGUAUACAAGCCUCAAAAAGUUGAUUGGUAUUUUGAUUAACCACUUGAAAACAAUGUUCUACCAAUUAAUUUGAAGUUCAGAAGCUAACUUAGACGCAAUGCCUACUUUACAUUUGACAUGCCUACUCACAAGUUCAUAACCUACGGGCAAGUAACAGCAGAACUUGCAGCCGAAGUCCACUCGAGAAUGUUAAAAUCUACCAUCCUAAAGUAUUCAUAUUCUAACAAUGGCAAUGGUGUCGUGUAGGGGAAUUCUUACUUGAAUUUCCCGUUGUGUAGACCAAUAGCAAUUCUAACUUCUUGUUGAUCUCAAAUAUUUCGGAUCUUUCUGAUCCCCUACAAGUUUAGAAUCGCCAUUGGUCUCGACAACAAGAAAUUCCACUACAUCGCUACCACACUGUAUAUAUGGCUACCACACUGUAGCCAGUAUACAAGAAUCUCCUACACAGCCUUUGCCAUUGUUAGAGCUCAACCAAGAAUCAGUACAAAUAUUUCGGCUUUUGUUGAUCCUCUUAACUCAUCAUCCAGCAAUAACUAAUCCUUGAAGGUGGGUUGUCGAAAAAAACAACCACCAACAUCCAUAUCUUGUUGAAUGAUUUCUAUGUUCUAUAACCAAUAACUUUGGCCAAGUAUUUCUAGAGUUUCAAGUUCGGGUUGGACCUAAAUAACUUCC